rnacentral:rRNA from 1 species
GACGAACGCUGGCGGCGUGCCUAACACAUGCAAGUCGAGCGAAUGAAGUUCCUUCGGGAACGGAUUUAGCGGCGGACGGGUGAGUAACACGUGGGCAACCUGCCUCAUAGAGGGGAAUAGCCUUCCGAAAGGGAGAUUAAUACCGCAUAAGAUUGUAGUACCGCAUGGUACAGCAAUUAAAGGAGCAAUCCGCUAUGAGAUGGGCCCGCGGCGCAUUAGCUAGUUGGUGAGGUAACGGCUCACCAAGGCGACGAUGCGUAGCCGACCUGAGAGGGUGAUCGGCAACGUUGGGACUGGGCAACGACCCAGAAUCCGACGGGAGGCAGCAGUGAGGAAUAUUGCACAAUGGGGGAAGCCCUGAUGCAGCAACGCCGCGUGAGUGAUGACGGGCUUCGGGUUGUAAAGCUCUGUCUUCAGGGACGAUAAUGACGGUACCUGAGGAGGAAGCCACGGCUAACUACGUGCCAGCAGCCGCGGUAA